rnacentral:lncRNA from 1 species
AGACCCCAUUCCUUCUGGUCCCGCCAGGGCACGCGGGACCAGAGGCAGAAGAACCUGCCCCCCCCUUCAGCGCAGUUCACGUGAGGGCAGGGGCAGAGGGGAUGGCGCGCCAAGUUCCCACCCCUAGGCCCCGCUGCGCGAUCCGGCCAACCCCUCCCGACUGAGCAGUGGAGCGGGGCCUAGAGGCCCGCUGCCGGGCGCUGGCUCCUCCCUCCCCGGCCGCUCCGGCUCCCGCCUCUCUCCCUUCCGCCGCCUAGGUGGGAGCCGAGCCUGAAUGAACGAGCCGCAGCCGGGGCCGGGCAGCUGCAGGGCUGCUGCGGGCGGGCAGUCUGGAGGCGGCAGCGGAGAUGCCAGGACCCCGCUGAGCUCACCGUUUUGCUCCUGGAGCCUGGAGCCUGACGCACCAGGCGGUACGAGGCCGGAGGCCGCAUGCGGAGCGGUGAGGAGCUGGGCAGCUUCCAGGAUGAGGCCUGCCUGCAGCAGCUCCAGGAUCGUAGGCGCCAGCCGCACUUCUUUGCCUACUCCCGAGCCAGUGAUCCAGCGCCCUGGGCUGGGAGGCCUCCGCUGCGACCCCGACCAGCUGCGCUGCAUUCUCGGCCUCCUCAAAGUCGCCAAAUUGAUGGUCUUGCUGCAGGAAUUGCUAGUCCACAUUCUCUCCCAUUGAGUCUUCUUGGGGCCCAGUCCAGAAGCCUGGUGGUCUACUGUGAGCUGUGCUGUGAGCUGUCUUUGAUUCCUCUUGCUGGUGAGUAGGUUUGCUGCAACAACUACUGGAUCAAUGUGAUAUAGUUUCCUGCCUGAAGACUAAGAGCAUUGUAAUUCAAACUUUCUCAGAGAUAGUUCUUCAACCUUCACUGACAGCCCCCUAUCUUUUCCUGGGUAGGAAAUAAUUCAACUCCCUUCUGCAUCCUCAACAGUCAAUCCCAGUUAGUAGAAAGGGAGAUUGAGAAGGCCAGAUUUUCUUAGUCCCAGAUCUCUUUUUACUCUUUUUUAAAUUUUUUUAUUUAUUCAUUUAAAAAAAAAUAUUACAUUAAAAAAAUAUGAGGUCCCCAUUCAUCCCCACCGCCCCCACCCCACCACUCCCCCCGCAGUAACACUCACCCCCAUCAUCAUGACACAUCCAUUGCAUCUGGUGAGUACAUCUCCGGGCUUCGCUGCACCCCAUGGCCUGUGGUCCACACCAUAGCCCACACUUUUCCACGUUCCAUCCAAUGGGCCAUGGGAGGACAUACAAUGUACGGAAAUUGUCCCUGCAGCACCACUCAGGACAACUCCAAGUCCUGAAAAUGCCUCCACAUCUCAUCUCUUCCUCCCCAUUCAGCUGGCUCCCAAGGCAAACAGUGGUAUAGCCACAUCCAGCC